rnacentral:rRNA from 1 species
ACACAUGCAAGUCGAACGAAGCACUUUAUCUUUUUUCUUCGGAAUGAAGAUUUUGUGACUGAGUGGCGGACGGGUGAGUAACGCGUGGGUAACCUGCCUCAUACAGGGGGAUAACAGUUGGAAACGACUGCUAAUACCGCAUAAGCGCACAGGGUCGCAUGACCUGGUGUGAAAAACUCCGGUGGUAUGAGAUGGACCCGCGUCUGAUUAGCCAGUUGGUGGGGUAACGGCCUACCAAAGCAACGAUCAGUAGCCGACCUGAGAGGGUGACCGGCCACAUUGGGACUGAGACACGGCCCAAACUCCUACGGGAGGCAGCAGUGGGGAAUAUUGCACAAUGGGGGAAACCCUGAUGCAGCGACGCCGCGUGAGCGAAGAAGUAUUUCGGUAUGUAAAGCUCUAUCAGCAGGGAAGAAGAAAUGACGGUACCUGACUAAGAAGCACCGGCUAAAUACGUGCCAGCAGCCGCGGUAAUACGUAUGGUGCAAGCGUUAUCCGGAUUUACUGGGUGUAAAGGGAGCGCAGGCGGUACGGCAAGUCUGAUGUGAAAGCCCGGGGCUCAACCCCGGUACUGCAUUGGAAACUGUCGGACUAGAGUGUCGGAGGGGUAAGUGGAAUUCCUAGUGUAGCGGUGAAA